AACGAACGUUAGCGGCGCGCUUAAUACAUGCAAGUCGAGCGAGAAAGGACUUCGGUCCCAGUAAAGCGGCGCACGGGUGAGUAACACGUAGGUCAUCUACCCUCGGGUGGUGGAUAACAC
rnacentral:rRNA from 1 species